GUGGGUAGUUUGACUGGGGCGGUCUCCUCCUAAAGAGUAACGGAGGAGCACGAAGGUUGGCUAAUCCUGGUCGGACAUCAGGAGGUUAGUGCAAUGGCAUAAGCCAGCUUGACUGCGAGCGUGACGGCGCGAGCAGGUGCGAAAGCAGGUCAUAGUGAUCCGGUGGUUCUGAAUGGAAGGGCCAUCGCUCAACGGAUAAAAGGUACUCCGGGGAUAACAGGCUGAUACCGCCCAAGAGUUCAUAUCGACGGCGGUGUUUGGCACCUCGAUGUCGGCUCAUCACAUCCUGGGGCUGAAGUAGGUCCCAAGGGUAUGGCUGUUCGCCAUUUAAAGUGGUACGCGAGCUGGGUUUAGAACGUCGUGAGACAGUUCGGUCCCUAUCUGCCGUGGGCGCUGGAGAAUUGAGGGGGGCUGCUCCUAGUACGAGAGGACCGGAGUGGACGCAUCACUGGUGUUCGGGUUGUCAUGCCAAUGGCACUGCCCGGUAGCUAAAUGCGGAAGAGAUAAGUGCUGAAAG
rnacentral:rRNA from 1 species